rnacentral:rRNA from 1 species
AAGUGCGGGGCUUAACCCCGUGAGGGGACCGAAACUGCGAUGCUAGAGUAUCGGAGAGGAAAGCGGAAUUCCUAGUGUAGCGGUGAAAUGCGUAGAUAUUAGGAGGAACACCAGUGGCGAAAGCGGCUUUCUGGACGACAACUGACGCUGAGGCGCGAAAGCCAGGGGAGCAAACGGGAUUAGAUACCCCGGUAGUCCUGGCCGUAAACGAUGGAUACUAGGUGUAGGAGGUAUCGACCCCUUCUGUGCCGGAGUUAACGCAAUAAGUAUCCCGCCUGGGGAGUACGGCCGCAAGGCUGCAACUCAAAUGAAUUGACGG